rnacentral:lncRNA from 1 species
GCUUCAGGUUCACCGAGAGACCCUGAUCUAAAUAAAAAAAAAAAAACCUGGGUGGUGGUGCCACACACCUUUAAACCCAGCUCUCGGGAGGCAGAGGCAGGGGGAUCUCUGUGAGUUACAAGCCAGCCUGGUCUCCAGAGCAAGUGCCAGGACAGGCUCCAAAGCUACAGAGAAACCUGUCUCAAAAAAACCAAAACCAAUAAAUAAAUAAAAGCAUCCAGUACUCUUAACCUUGGAGCCAUCUCUCCAGCCCCCAACUCCCAAGUUUUUAUUGAUAAAGAAAAAUUAGACGAAUGCUUCAAAAUACUGUUUGAAGCCAAUCAAAGCUAUAUAUGGGGGAGUAAAAAAGUAGAAAUAGCCCAAAUACCUGUCAAUUGAUGAAUAGAUACAAUUUGGUAUGUCAGUAUAAUGCAAUAUUAUUGAACCAUCAAAGGGAAUAAAAAACUGAAACAUAAUGAUGAAUCAUGAACGAAUGCAUUAGGUUGCGUGAAAUGAAACACUUAACAAAGACCACAUAUUAUAUGACCAUAUUCACAGGAAACAUGCAGAAUAGGAAAACCACAGAGAUCAGUAAUAGUGCUUGCCAAGAGCUGAAAGGAUUAAAGUGGUGGGGGAGUGUCUGGUAUCCCCCUUUGUUUUUGAGACAAGGUUUCACUGUGUAGCCCAGGUUGGGCCUUAAGUCUUGCUCUCCAUCUGCUUCCAUAUCCCCAGUUUUGAAACUACAGGCGUAGGCCAUCACACCCAGCUUUGUUUGCAAUGGUGGUUUACACAGUUGUGGAUAUAGUGAACAACACUGAAAAGUCCUCAUCGUUGUUGGCAAUUGAAGCCAAAACCACAGCCUUUUACAAGUUGUGUUCAUACAGUACACCCUCAGUCCCUGGAUUGUCCACUUGAAAUGGGUUGACUGUAUGGUUAUACCGGCUGGUUUUGUAGUCAACUAGACACAAGCUAGAGUCAUCAGAGGAAGGAGUCUGAGCUGAGGAAACACCUACUUGAGAGCCAGCUGUAAAGCAUUUUCUCAAUUAGUGAUCAAUGAGGGGAGGGUCCAGCCCACAGUGGGUGGUGCCAUUCCUGGGCUGCUGGUCCGCAUUCUACAAGAUGGGUUGAGCAAGUCAGAAGACACAAGCUAUCGGCAGCACUCAUCUAUGGCUUCUGCAACAGCUCCUGCCUCAGGGAUCCUACCCUGUUUGAGUUCCUAUCCGGACUUCCUCAGUGAUGAACAGCAAUGCUGACGUGUAAGCCAAAUAAACCCUUUCCUCCCCAACUUGUCUUUUGGUCAUGGUGUUUCUUCGAAGCAAUAGAAACCCUAAGACAAUGCUCUUCCUGUUUCCUGGCAGAUAUCUCUUCCAUUUACUUUAGUUCAUUUAUCUUCCCGAUGAGGUUAGAAUCCAACCAGCCAGAAAACUCGUGUUUUCUCUUCGUUAACAUCCGAGGAAGCAGCAGGCCUUGGGCCUGACAUUUCUCCAACUAGGUCAACAUCAGGGAAGACAAACAGUGCGGGCUGCUCUGACAGCUGGUCCAGAGAGACAGCAUCAGGUUAAGGCGGCAGGGAGGGCACCUCCCCCAGGCUUCUGGGAACACCGAUGCCUUCCCUUUCCUGGGGCACCACUGUAAGGCCGCGAAUAGGAAAGAACUUCCGGAGGCGGUGAGGGGCUCUGGGAAGCUACACCUGCUGGAACACUGAACCCAGCCCUGACACUCCACCUGCCUUCCUCUAGAUCCUACUCAUUUAAUCUCCCAAUGCCCUAAGGGGUGCUAAGAGGACGCUCACUGCUCCUGCUUUACCCACGAUGCAACGCAAGUUCGAAUCUGUUAGUAAAGAUCACCAGGCUUCCGCCGUCUGAGUUAGGAACUGUACCGUGGAGUCGAGCAUGAGUAAAUGGCAAUGUCCCCGUCAUUGCUGACAAAGAUGAGGAGGAUGCUGGUGAUCUGUUAGCUUCCUAACAAUGUGCCCAGAAUUAGGGAGGGGCGUGGCUCAAUGAUAGAGUGCCUGCCAGAGAGAGCCCAGGGCCUCCAGGCUGAGCCAGCUCCUUUACAGCCAUACUCAGAGUCCGCCAGCUGGAGCAGAUUGAAACUGCAGGGAAGCGGAAGGAGGCAGAGCCAGGCUGAAGUCAUCUUCCUGCUUCCUAGAGAGGCCAGAGAGAAGGGGGAGAGGAGCCACGAGGAUGCCACACCCCAAGUCACCCAGAUGUGUGGUUUCCCUUUCUCUGAAUUCAGAACAUCAGAUUAUCCUUUCCAAAAGAGUCUGGCAUGGGAUCCAGGCUGGGCCAACAGAGGGGCCUGUAUCACACUGAGUGGGACACGGGGGCUCUCACAUUGUCCCCUGGGAAGUACAGGAGAUGUACUAACAGUGCAAGCAAG